CAGGUCUUCAGUGUAUGAGAGUAAAUCAGGUGCCACAUUCCUGGUCCCUCUAGCCAAGAAGCACCCAUAUUGAGACUACUGCAACAGCUCUGGUACAAAUUAUGAUUCAUCUACUCUUCAAGCAAUUAACAUCUGGGCCGCCACCAAGGAAACUUUUUUUUGGUGCAAGAUGGCAUUACAUGAUGCUCAAAGAACUGUGGAGAUUCAGCUCCAGAAGGAGGAGGAGGCUUUCUUUACUCCUCCAUCGUAGGAGUGGAACUCUUGCACCCCCGGGAUGAGCAUGAUUCACAAGAUCAAUGUGACUGUCAUUAUUGUUCAUACUGUUGCAAUGAGAAUACACCUGCAAAAUGACCAUGACAGUUUAACCAGCAAUGAAUUUAAAAAAAUUAUUCAUAAGGCAUUAUGUCUUAUGUAUUCAAGUGAAAUCAUUUUAAUUUCUUUUCAAUUUGUCUCUUGAAUUUAGCCAAUGGGAUUUCUGUGUAAUGGAUGCUGUGACCCAGAUGUUUGAUCUGUAAUGGAUGCUGUCGUCCAUAUGUUUGAUCAGUAAUGUGUUUGAGACUCUUAAAAUUUUAUGUUAAGAUUUUACCCCCAAGAGGAUGUUAUUAGGACUAUUAGGAGGUGACUGGAUCAUGAAAGGGAUCCCUCAUAUUGGGAUCAGUGCCCUUUAUUUAAGAGAUCCCAGAGAACUGACUCUCUCCUAUGUCACAAAACACAGGAAGAGGUGUUGCCUAUGUCACAGACAGCAGGCCUUCAAAAGAUACCAAAUCUGCUGGAACUUUGAUGCCAGAUUCCUUAGUUCCCAGAACUAUGAGAAAUACAUUUUUGUUGUUAAUAA